rnacentral:tRNA from 1 species
UAUGUUUUAGUAUAAGAUGUACAAAAACUUUUGGUGUUUUUAGGGGUAGUUUAAUUCUGCCAAACAUAA